rnacentral:tRNA from 1 species
GUUUGAAUAGCUUAAGUUAAAGUUUAAUAUUGAAGAUAUUAAUAUAGAAUAUAAUUCUUUCAAACA